AGCGUACUGAAUGAGCUAGUAGUCUCAGGAGAGUUCUUCUGGAGGCAUUCUCUGCCCUUUAAGAUCCCACCAGAACGGUUCCAGUAAUUAUUCUGUCAAUCAAACCCAUUUUACCACACUACCUGCAAGACCUCAUUUGGCCGUAUAAGUUGAAAAUCACCAACGUGACCAGCCCAAGGAAGCUUAAUUCAAGACACUCUUGCUGCAGACUAGAGUUAAGAAUUUAUCUCACAGAUAUUAGGAAAAAAAAAGCAAACAAAUCUGGAAUUCAGCUGUACAAUCUUGCAUGAAAUCAGAGAUAAAACAUUUAUUAUUUAUAAUACACAUUGCAUAUAGAAUGAAAAUAUAACAUUUUUGAUAAUCAAAGGAGCUAACAGAAGUGUAUUUCCCAUUGAUUCUGAGUCACUAAGGCUGAUUCAGCUGUAGACCGAAUUCCAGUUUGCAGCCUUCUGUAGGAAGAAAGGCUAACUGCAUGUUUUUCCAACAGAAGACUCCCACACAAGGUCUCCAGAUUUAAAGAUCUUUAACAAAUUAGGCUGUUCUGCCCAUAUGGCAACGUCACCCAAAUGAAAAAAGAACCAGGUCAUCCCACCAAACUCUGCCAACUGAAUCACUGCAUAUGUAAUAUGCAGUAUGUAUGCAUAUCACUGCACUAAAUAUGUGCUCGUGGGCACAUUUUACUACUGCUGUAAGAUAAUGGUAAUCUGCAGCAACAUGAGACAGAACUUUUCUUCUGCAGACUGCUAUAACAUUCACAUUCCCAGAGAUUUCAAGACAGCGGCUGUAGUCUACUGCAGAUCUGAACUAGCAUCACACAGCACAAGGGAGAAACAGAGAAUUAGAAGAAAUAACUCACAUGGGCUGUCGCAGGGAACUUAGGAUGAGAAAAGGGAAAGGUUAAGCACCAGCAAGAGGUCAUUUUAUGUAAACAGAAGACGAGAGCUCUGAUUAUUUAUGUCAUAUUCAAUUCUGCUUGAACAUUUGGCUGUGGGAUACAAAAAUGCUAAUGUGACUCUGUGGAUAUUCUUGAAAGCAUAAUAAAUUUGAAGAGUGGAUAGAUAAACUCAUAUAAAUAAAUACUUUGGACCAGGCUAAAAUGGCACUCAUGACAAUACCACUUAGACAUUAGAGAUAUUACAAUAAUUGCUUUCAUGUAAAAUAGAUAGCUAAAGACAUUGGAUUUGUUCCCAGGAGUACACUAGAAUACAUCACUGAAGAUGAGUUAUUUAAUUGAAUGCAUAUAGGAAUAGAUAUAACAGUUUCAACCAUGCAUAAUAUGUCACAAACCUUAAAAGUUACGGCUACCUUACAUUUUGCAUACCAUCCCAGCCCCCGAAAAACAGCCCAUUUCACAUUUAAAGGUACAGAAUCCCACCAGUUUGUUUAAGUGGAGCUUUAUGUUCUUUGAGGAAGAAAGCACAUUGUCCUGCUUUUUACUGAACAGAAUCCAGUACAGUCCUGAAGUGAUAUGAAUAAUAAAUCUCUCUCUUAUGCAUUUAUGAAGAACCCAUCAGUAUGAUACAUAUUUAACAUAUAGGCACUUUAAAUCUCAUUAUAUAUGUAUGUGAACAUUUACAGCACUUUCUGGGAUUCCAUCAAUUGUUGCAUAUAAUUGGACUAUAAGUAUGGGCCAAGUAUUUUUAUUUUCAUUUUCUACAUUCCAGUUUUUGAGUACAGUUAUAGAAACUAAAUAACUGUUUGCAGCUAUGUUGAUUCUUUUCCUACUGGGGAAAAGUGUAAUGUCUCGAUUGUUUAAAAAGAAGCUGCCGCUAAGUGUAGGAAGCGAAGAGCUCUCAAUAGUGCAGUGAACCCACCCUGUUCUGAUUCUGUGGAAAAGCAAAUACAGAACUACUCAAGCUUGAACCAUUGUGACCAAAUAAUUCAACAUCAUGCAUUAAAGGACUUCCUCCCACCUUGAUUUUUUCUAAGACUGGUGUCAUAAAGCCAAUUAUUUUUACCUUUAGUUGAAAACAACCGUGCACUUAUAAUAACAUCUGAGUUAUUAUAAGAGGAUAUCUUUGGAAAUAAAGUAGCUUCUUCUCUGUUAGUGUAAAGAUAAUGAAAGUAUGUGAAUGGAAAUCAUGUGAUUUCCUUGGCAUUUUAUAUCACAUCUUUUGCUCGAGUCUCAUGAAUUGCUUUCAAUUUACUGUGAUAAUUCUUUUCCUUGGUUAAAGAUGAAACAACGUCGUAUUUUCUUAACAAGUUAUCCAAAACCUAAAGAUUUUUCUAAGAAGAAAAAGUCUGAAUGGCUUUUAAAAUAGCAUUUGUGCUGCUCUGAAGUGUAUACUGGAAUUCAUUUCAAAUUUUUUGCAUAAUUCAUUAUUCUCUUCUAGAAGAAAAAUAGAUGGUAAGGUUAUAAAUGUCAACUUAGAUUGCUUACAGUAUGUACCAGAGUGGCCUCACCUCAGAGGUGCUCAGAAACCACACACCUCAUUUUAAACUGCAGGAACUGUAUUAUUGAUAGAUAUUCUUAACCUAAACUUUAAUGAAUGACACAGAAAUAAUGAUCAAGUUCUGCUCCUUUAAUUCAUGAAGAUAAUCUAAUUCAGAUGAGUGUGACUAGUCGUGUGAAUACCAAAGCAAGAAAGAUUUUAGGUUAGGAUUUGUAAAAUUAAUAAGAACACUGUUCAGGUAUUUUUAAGUUUAGGAGAGGAAAAGCUAACAGUCAAUUAAUAACCUGAGCUCAGAGAGCCUGAACCUCCUGGGCAGCCUCCCUGUCGGUCCCAUGAGAGAGAGGAUUGCAUCAGCUCUCAAGAUGAUGAAGAUACUUUCCAUGACACACCAUUUAUGCCCCGAGGAAGUAUGGGACAAAUCCUUGUGCUCGGCUUACUCUGACCCACGUGGACAGGUUUGUUCAGGGCAGACAGAUUUUCCUCAUGUACCGCUACUUGGGAUGCUAACACAGAGGAACUGAGGGCUGCCUUAGGCCCCUUACAUAUGUCAGAGGAUGCAACUGCACUGCACACACGCACUGCUGCAUUGGAAAUCUUACUCAUAAUUCAGUUGUUAUUACUUAUUUUUGUAUUCUUUUACAAUUCUGUAAAUGUUAAUAUUAACAUAAACAAAGGACUUUUUUAACAACAGUUUUAAUGAGAUAAACUUACAAGCUACUACACAACAAGCAACAUUCUGGCAUGUAAUUCAUUUCCCUUCAUUGAUAAUAUGCUCAGUUUUUUGUGCCAAGGCAUAAAAACUUCAUUGCUUCCAGGACACGGUACUAAAUCUCUUUUGAUUCUAAUUAUUGGCUCUUCCUGGACUAUUUAAACCAUAUUUUGAGGCUGCGUCUUCUCUUUUGUCAUUUUAAGGCACACUAUGAUUGUGCCCCCUUUUCUUCCUAUCUCGACUUUUAACAACAGAUUGUUUUCUCUUUUUCCUCUGAGUACUGAUGAUACCUUCUUUUAGCCACCGAAAGAUGCAUAUUCAGCAAUGCUUUUCACUACCUUUCAGCCAUUAUAUGAUGACAUCUAAAGAAAGACUAGCAGACACCUUCAAACAGUUUGUGCAGCUUUGCUCAAACACAUACAGAAAAAAAUGAUUGAACUUGGGGGCAUCCACAGGUCGGUACAUUUCUACUAGAGUCUGUCACUGUCUGUCCACUAAUCCUACAAAGCCUGGUAGGGAUCAGCUGCUGCUAACAACAAUGGAAGAGGUCUCUGUUGAAAUGCUCCUGGCUUUUGUACAUACUGAAGAACUCACAAGCCGUAUUCAGAUCAUCUGUUACUCUCCAAACAUUAACAGUGCACAUAAUUCAGACAAACCCCUAUUUUUCUCUUCGACUUUUUUCCUAUUAUUUCCAUUAAUCACAAAUAAUUUGAUUUAUUAUUUGUGCUUAUGAUUUAGUGCACUGCCGUUGAUAAAUGUCACAUAAAUAAAUAUUUGGGUUUUUUUCUUGCCUUCUUUUUAGUGGUAGAAUAAUGAUUAAAUCGAUACAGUUCAAAGCUAGAAUGUUUUGCUUGUAGUGGAUUUUUUAUUACCACUAUAAAUGCUAUCUUCAAAGAGUUAAAGUCAGUUAGUUAUCCCAGCCCUGCCCAUUUAAUGAAAUUAUUUUGUUUCCCUAAACUCUGUAAGUAAUAAGGCAGACUGGGAACUUAAUACACAUCUUUCUGUAUUGAUUUAGUUUUAAUUCAUUCUGUUUUCUCUCUGAAGUCUGUAAGCCUUCAGCUUCUAACUAUAUUCAUUUCUGACAUGCGCAUUUCUCUAAUGCCAAGUGCCUCUGUUAUUCCCGAAAUAAUCUCAAAGAUGAUUUAUAUCCUUAUGCUUUGCUUUUUCAUCUGUUUACAGUUUCCCACAUAUUUUCAUAACAUACUCAGAAACAUUAAAAUUGCACUCUAAGAAACUCUAUUAUCAUAUCAAGUCUAACUUAACGUUGAAGAGCAUUAUCCAAGUACAGUCUUUGCAUCUAUUGUCCUGCAACUGGACGAACAUUGCCAGACCCUUCCAUGAAUUCAGAAAGUGCCUGGCAGCAAUUUCAUACUUAGGACUGCAUUUUAGAAUGGAUAGCACUAGUGUUGGAGGGUAAUGACUCACUACUAUGUUGUGCAUAAAUAGGUAAGAUGUAAGCAUAGUUAAGGCUGUACUGCUAAGACAACUGCAAUGAGAACAGACUGCAUAAUUAUUUAGAUGACAGCAUAGGAAAUACAAUGGCAUGCUUGAAACCCACAGAAUGCUAAAUUCAAACCUACAGUAUGCAGGGUCACGGUGACUGAGGCAGCUAGAUUUAGCAAAAUGAGGUGCCAGCCAUAGCAUUAGUGAACAUAGUUAGGAUGCGCCUGUCAUUCUGGGAGAGAUCCACAUACAAAAACAGGCUUCUAAACACAGUGCCAAAAUCUCCAUGUACCAGUCUCACCCAUUUCUGGGUACUGGACCUGAACAGAUGGUUAAGAACAUCGGCGGUUAAGCUGAACUACAUAAGAACAAUGAUUGUAUUGAACAAAAUACUUUUUAUUUCAUUUUUUUUUCCCUAAGGAAAUUUUAAAGAGGUCUUCUUAGUUUAAUUUUUUUAAAUUAAUUUUGUAAGUUAGAAUCAGAAUGUUUCAUUUUCAGAAGCUUUUACUAAAUACCAAGAAAGAGAGGUUGGACUCAUAAAACUGGUGCAGAAGGCAUGGCUGUUCUUAAAGGCCAGUGACUAUAAUGUUUUCGUGGUCAUUUUGCAGGAGCUGUGCCCCACUUUUGUACCAUUUAGCUCACCAAUACAGAUAUGACAUGCUAUCCUCCUCAAAGGAGAUGCACCAUGCUCUGUUCUUUGGUGUGGAUGUUUGCUGUCUUGCCUGCUUAAUAAUGUUCAGCUACAAUAAUUACUCCAUCUGCUUCUGAAAAAGAACAGUGUCUCAAUUCUGGAAGGCAGACAGUUCACCUAAGCAGUAGAUUUGAACCGUUGACAACUGUCUCUAGAAAAAUUCCCUGACAUACAGAAAAAUUUCCAAACUCCCUAGAUGUUGUCUGGCUAUUAAAGGAAGUAUAAGACAGAGAUACAACUCUAAAUCUACUGCCCACCAUUCUGAAAGUGCUUAUAUUUGAUAACUUCAUAAAAUCAGAUCCACAACUGAAUUGAAGUUUUGAAAAUAAAAUCCUGAUGCACAAAGCACAGUUUGAAAUGGAAGAUGGAACAGGUCCACUACUCUGUGAAAUCAGAGAGAGCAUCAAAAUAAAAUCAAUCAACACUAAUUAAACUAAGUAGAACAUAUCUCUCCAUCAAAUGACAGACUUUUAUACUCACAUUCAUCUUAGCCCAGGGUUUCUAGCUACUCAAAAUCUGCUUUCUGUACUGCCUGCUUUAUAGAUAAAUGUCUGUUGUGAUGUGGUGUCUCAAUUCCCUUUCCAUAGCCAGCAGCAACUGAGAUAGGCAACAAUCACAGGCCUGAAUGAUUACUACUUCUGCCCGUGGCCAGCACGAAAAAACCUCAAGAACGCGUAAGUAAAAGUAAUUUGCUGAUUUAGAUUUAACAUUUUCUGUAUUGCAAGGAGAAUGGUCUGCAUAUCUUAGAGCUGAUCUGAUUUCCGAGUCUUCUCCUGUCUGCCACCUUCCAGCACAGCAAUAUGCUGGAGAGAUGAGGCCAGGUUUCCCUCAACAGACAGUUCAACUCUGAAGUUUUCAGCAGAUUUCACAAACACAGUUCAUCAGGCAGUCCUGUAUUGCAUGACUUGUUUUGUAGGAGGAACAAGAAAGGAUUUGCGUGCUACUCCUUCAUCUUCUCUCUUUCUGUCCUCACCACUUCUUUUCCUUCACCUCCUGACCUCUCUGAAAGGCCACUUCCUUGCCAUCACACCAGACAGUGCUACAGCCUUUCACCCCUCAAACUCUGACAGCUCACAUCCACCCCAAUUCCAUGACACCCCUCAGAUCACCCACGUCCACAUCCAGUAAGGAGACGAGCAGCUGAGCAAGAACUUCAUAAGGGAACCUGUGACCUAGUCUACCUUAUGGCCCUUAGAAAACCGGCCAAGGAAGAGGAGGCAGAGUUAGCAACUGCCUCAGGCAGAUGUCUCCAGCUGGACAAUUCUGUGGUAUAAAAGACAAAGUGCCAUCUCCAUUCUGAAACUGAAAUGUCUGGUAAAGCACCUCCUUGCUGGAAUGCCUUAGAAAUGAAGAGAGCAAGCUGUAAUGGCAACAGCGCAGACAGUACUAGUAGGGACAGUUUUUUGUCCACUCCUAGUGUUUACUGUCAGUUCCCCCUUCUCCAGCAGUAACUCUCAGGCUUAAGUUUGCAAGCCACAAAGACUCCCAUACUAAUUUACUCUACGUUUCUGUAUGUCAAGUGCUAGAAGUAAUGUUAAGAAAAAACAAGUACAGAUGGAAAUUUAUUAACAGUAUAAGUAACCUCAAAAGACAGCCAAAACAAGUUUGUGGUGAGACUCAGAAGUGAGAAAGAGAACUGAAGCUUUCCUCAAUUGACAAAGGUCGGCAAUCAAUUUGAGCGUGCGUACCCUGCAGACAUUUGUGUUAUUCUGCCUUAGAUAAUUUACAUAGAUAACACAGGAUUUCCUCACUGACUAUAAAAUAAAGAGCUCUCCUCUGAGAGUGCUUUUACUGCACUGGACUCAUAUCUAAAUAAGUUUUUACCUACAACUGUCCUGUAUGAUUUUUUAAAAAGCUUUGAAAAUCAUUUAACAUUUCCCCCCUCAUAGCCAGGCCAUGUUCUAGUGAACCCUAAGGAAGAUUUAGAGUUUUUGACUACACUCUCUUUUCCUCUCUCGUUAUCCAUACAAAGAUUUCAUGAUGCUAUACAAAAUAUGUCUUCUCAGUAUGACAUGGGGGAAUGACCUUCUCUGCAGCAUCCCUCCUGCCUGAGAGCCCUCUGGCCCAAGCUGUACAUUUUUUGUAGGCUCUUUCCACUACUAGUACUCAAAACUGUGUAAGCGCUUCCUGUAUGAGGAUUCGGGCACCUUCCAGGUCUGAAGUGGCAAAUUAGUAGAGUAAAAGAGUCAGGAACAUACACAGGGCAGGAUCUUGCUCACACAGGUCACAAGAAUGGGAUCACGAUCUCUGAAGAGAAUUCCUUUCUGCACUGCCUGCUGCCUGCUAUGACCCUCACUGCCAGGUAGUCACCCUGCACAGUAAACCAACAUUUCCUACCAUUUCUCAUGGAUUCCUGAUUAUCAGGCUAGGGCAAGCAACCAAGAAAGCAAAAGAUGGUCCCUAAAAGGCAUCCAAGGCAGCCACUUCAUCACUGCCAGAUCACUCCCAUUCGAGGCCGGUGAGCUGAUAGAAGUUUGAAAAGUAAGUUGAGGACUUUUCCCCUACAAGGCUAGAAGACCUCCUUCUGUUUAUUAAUAUAUCCUCUACUUUAAAGGCCAUCAUACUUUAUUUACCAGACAUUCACCAAGUAGAUGAUUGCAUGCUUCAGUCUUGAUUGGAAGACUGACUACAGGAGACCAAUCAGGGUAUGUUUUCUGUUCAAUUCUAUUUGUUUCAAGCCUAGCCUCACCGCAGUGAGGAAACUCCGAACUUCUAUAUAACAUGUUAAAAGCAGGUAACAGCAGUUUUAGUUCCCUUUUUUGACAGUUCCUCCUCUAUCCUGCCAGACAGAACUGCAUUUAAUUUCCUAGGAUUUCAUAGUAUUUUGAAUUGUCUCUUUGAAGAGAGACAACCUUCAGGUUCCCUGUCCAGCUUAUAAAUUCCAGUGGGGUAAUGAGCACUGUUGUUUUCACAACUGACUUUGAGGAGUCUCUCUUUGACAGAAAAUUUAAGAGAGAAAUAAAGGUCCUUUGGGUCCAAAAAUAAUACAGUUUUUCUUCUUUUUUUCUUUUCCUAGAAAUUCCUGAAUCCAAAAACAUAUCUUCUCUCUUCACUUUGUCUCUUCAUUCCUAAACAUGAUUCAGAUGACUUCCAUGUCAUUCCUGCCACCUGAAUGCGGGGUACUCUGCUGAUUCUGGGGCUGAAUGGUAGUUCUGUAAUUUCUCAGAAGAGACUGAGUCUCCCCCUUCUGAUAUUGCUCUCCUCCACUCGUGUUAGCAGGAUGGUUUAUAAGAGCAGAGACCCGGAGGUUGUGGUGGUUACGGAUAACGACAGAGAGUAAAGAGGCAGCUCAUGCAGUGGAAACACAAUCUGUACAGCAGGAUUGCUAGAACAGCCUUAUUGGGACUGCAGCAAGGUAAGUCUUUAGCUGUUGGUAGCCCUGAGGGACUCCCAUCUAAUGUGCAUUCUAGAGAUGGCUCAAGGGCCUGCAGCUUGAUCCACACAACCCAGUCCAGCCUGAGGCAUCAUGAGGAGAGCAGCUCUGGAGGGCAGCCUGAAAUAGUAGCACAGAAAGAUUCAGUCUGAUCCACUGAAGCGAACACUGGAUUCC
ensembl:lncRNA